rnacentral:rRNA from 1 species
AACGAACGCUGGCGGCAGGCUUAACACAUGCAAGUCGAACGCCCCGCAAGGGGAGUGGCAGACGGGUGAGUAACACGUGGGAACAUGCCCAAAGGUACGGAAUAUCCUCGGGAAACUGGGAGCAAUACCGUAUGUGCCCGAAAGGGGAAAGAUUUAUCGCCUUUGGAUUGGCCCGCGUUGGAUUAGCUAGUUGGUGGGGUAAAAGCCUACCAAGGCGACGAUCCAUAGCUGGUCUGAGAGGACGACCAGCCACACUGGGACUGAGACACGGCCCAGACUCCUACGGGAGGCAGCAGUGGGGAAUCUUGGACAAUGGGCGCAAGCCUGAUCCAGCCAUGCCGCGUGAGUGAUGAAGGCCCUAGGGUUGUAAAACUCUUUCGUGGGGGACGAUAAUGACGGUACCCCAAGAAGAAGCUCCGGCUAACUUCGUGCCAGCCGCCGCAGUAACAC